rnacentral:rRNA from 1 species
GGGGCCCGCACAAGCGGUGGAGUAUGUGGUUUAAUUCGAUGCUACGCGAAGAACCUUACCAGGGCUUGACAUGUCCGGAAUCCCGGGGAAAGCUGGGAGUGCCUUCGGGAGCCGGUACACAGGUGGUGCAUGUCUGUCGUCAGCUCGUGUCGUGAGAUGUUGGGUUAAGUCCCGCAACGAGCGCAACCCUCGUCUUUAGUUGCCAGCAUUAAGUUGGGCACUCUAGAGAGACUGCCGGUGACAAACCGGAGGAAGGUGGGGAUGACGUCAAGUCAGCAUGCCCCUUACGCUCUGGGCGACACACGUACUACAAUGGUCGGGACAGAGGGCAGCGAACCUGCGAAGGCAAGCUAAUCCCAGCAAACUCGGCCUCAGUUCAGAUCGCAGGCUGCAACUCGCCUGCGUGAAGGAGGAAUCGCUAGUAAUCGCCGGUCAGUAUACGGCGGUGAAUCCGUUCCCGGGCAUGUACACACCGCCCGUCACACCAUGGAAGCUGGCCACGCCCGAAGUCGUUCCACUACCUUUCGGGAAG